rnacentral:rRNA from 1 species
AUGAACGCUAGCUACAGGCUUAACACAUGCAAGUCGAGGGGCAGCAUUUUAGUUUGCUUGCAAACUGAAGAUGGCGACCGGCGCACGGGUGAGUAACACGUAUCCAACCUGCCGAUAACUCCGGAAUAGCCUUUCGAAAGAAAGAUUAAUACCGGAUGGCAUACGAAUAUCGCAUGAUAUUUUUAUUAAAGAAUUUCGGUUAUCGAUGGGGAUGCGUUCCAUUAGUUUGUUGGCGGGGUAACGGCCCACCAAGACUACGAUGGAUAGGGGUUCUGAGAGGAAGGUCCCCCACAUUGGAACUGAGACACGGUCCAAACUCCUACGGGAGGCAGCAGUGAGGAAUAUUGGUCAAUGGGCGAGAGCCUGAACCAGCCAAGUAGCGUGAAGGAUGAAGGCUCUAUGGGUCGUAAACUUCUUUUAUAUGGGAAUAAAGUUUUCCACGUGUGGAAUUUUGUAUGUACCAUAUGAAUAAGGAUCGGCUAACUCCGUGCCAGCAGCCGCGGUAAUACGGAGGAUCCGAGCGUUAUCCGGAUUUAUUGGGUUUAAAGGGAGCGUAGGUGGAUUGUUAAGUCAGUUGUGAAAGUUUGCGGCUCAACCGUAAAAUUGCAGUUGAAACUGGCAGUCUUGAGUACAGUAGAGGUGGGCGGAAUUCGUGGUGUAGCGGUGAAAUGCUUAGAUAUCACGAAGAACUCCGAUUGCGAAGGCAGCUCACUAGACUGUCACUGACACUGAUGCUCGAAAGUGUGGGUAUCAAACAGGAUUAGAUACCCUGGUAGUCCACACAGUAAACGAUGAAUACUCGCUGUUUGCGAUAUACAGUAAGCGGCCAAGCGAAAGCAUUAAGUAUUCCACCUGGGGAGUACGCCGGCAACGGUGAAACUCAAAGGAAUUGACGGGGGCCCGCACAAGCGGAGGAACAUGUGGUUUAAUUCGAUGAUACGCGAGGAACCUUACCCGGGCUUAAAUUGCAACAGAAUAUAUUGGAAACAGUAUAGCCGUAAGGCUGUUGUGAAGGUGCUGCAUGGUUGUCGUCAGCUCGUGCCGUGAGGUGUCGGCUUAAGUGCCAUAACGAGCGCAACCCUUAUCUUUAGUUACUAACAGGUUAUGCUGAGGACUCUAGAGAGACUGCCGUCGUAAGAUGUGAGGAAGGUGGGGAUGACGUCAAAUCAGCACGGCCCUUACGUCCGGGGCUACACACGUGUUACAAUGGGGGGUACAGAAGGCGGCUACCUGGUGACAGGAUGCUAAUCCCAAAAACCUCUCUCAGUUCGGAUCGAAGUCUGCAACCCGACUUCGUGAAGCUGGAUUCGCUAGUAAUCGCGCAUCAGCCAUGGCGCGGUGAAUACGUUCCCGGGCCUUGUACACACCGCCCGUCAAGCCAUGAAAGCCGGGGGUACCUGAAGUACGUAACCGCAAGGAGCGUCCUAGGGUAAAACUGGUAAUUGGGGCU